rnacentral:rRNA from 1 species
GACGAACGCUGGCGGCGUGCUUAACACAUGCAAGUCGAACGGAAAGGCCCUGCUUGCCGGGUACUCGAGUGGCGAACGGGUGAGUAACACGUGGGUGAUCUGCCCUGCACUUCGGGAUAAGCCUGGGAAACUGGGUCUAAUACCGGAUAGGAGCCAUUUUUAGUGUGAUGGUUGGAAAGUUUUUUCGGUGUAGGAUGAGCUCGCGGCCUAUCAGCUUGUUGGUGGGGUAAUGGCCUACCAAGGCGGCGACGGGUAGCCGGCCUGAGAGGGUGGACGGCCACAUUGGGACUGAGAUACGGCCCAGACUCCUACGGGAGGCAGCAGUGGGGAAUAUUGCACAAUGGGCGCAAGCCUGAUGCAGCGACGCCGCGUGGGGGAUGACGGCCUUCGGGUUGUAAACUCCUUUCGCUAGGGACGAAGCUUUUUGUGACGGUACCUAGAUAAGAAGCACCGGCUAACUA